rnacentral:rRNA from 1 species
CGCGUAGGCGGCCACGCGUGUCUUUCGUGAAAUCCCUCGGCUUAACUGAGGACGUGCGGAAGAAACUGCGAGGCUGGAGUCCGGGAGAGGGGGGUGGAAUUCCCAGUGUAGCGGUGAAAUGCGUAGAUAUUGGGAGGAACACCGGUGGCGAAGGCGGCCCCCUGGACCGGUACUGACGCUGAUGCGCGAAAGCGUGGGGAGCAAACG